AUUGGGAACUAUAUACACUACAGUACAUGCAUAUAUUUACCUAUAUAAAAUGACAACCAAGGACACCAAGUAAAACUAGGCUACAUGUAAAAAUACAUCACAACAUAUAACCAGAUUAUAGUACGUUACUGUACACUGAUGACUUAUCUCUUGUCUGGGAUAAUCCCAUACUGACCUAGCCUCCUCCGCAGGCAUCUCGUAGUUCACGUACUUCAGAAAGUCGGUGAGAUGCCUGCCAAAACCCGACAUGGUUGAGCCGUUCUGCGCAUCUUGCUUGCGCAGCGAUUUCGUCUCUAGGGUACGCACGUGGGUAGGAUUUGUCAUCCAAGAUGGCGGAUUGCAUGGAGUGAAGAAUUAUGAGAAUUAGUGAAUUUAUAUUAAUACGGUCGCUAAAGGCGGCUAAACGAUUAAGAAUACAGCUUUCGUGGACUAUUGAAAGAAUCUUAACCCG